GAGUUUGAUCUUGGCUCAGAGCGAACGCUGGCGGCAGGCCUAAUACAUGCAAGUCGAGCGCACCUUCGGGUGAGCGGCGGACGGGUGAGUAACGCGUGGGAAUGUGCCCUUUGGUACGGAACAACACAGGGAAACUUGUGCUAAUACCGUAUGUGCCCUUCGGGGGAAAGAUUUAUCGCCAUUGGAGCAGCCCGCGUUGGAUUAGCUAGUUGGUGGGGUAAAGGCCCACCAAGGCGACGAUCCAUAGCUGGUCUGAGAGGAUGAUCAGCCACACUGGGACUGAGACACGGCCCAGACUCCUACGGGAGGCAGCAGUAGGGAAUCUUGCGCAAUGGGCGAAAGCCUGACGCAGCCAUGCCGCGUGAAUGAUGAAGGUCUUAGGAUUGUAAAAUUCUUUCACCGGGGAAGAUAAUGACGGUACCCGGAGAAGAAGCCCCGGCUAACUUCGUGCCAGCAGCCGCUGUAAG
rnacentral:rRNA from 1 species